rnacentral:rRNA from 1 species
GGUUAAGUGACUAAGCGUACACGGUGGAUGCCUGGGCAGUCAGAGGCGAUGAAGGACGUACUAACUUGCGAUAAGCGCAGAUAAGGCAGUAAGAGCCGUUUGAGUCUGCGAUUUCCGAAUGGGGAAACCCAACUGCAUAAGCAGUUACUGUUAACUGAAUACAUAGGUUAACAGAGCAAACCGGGGGAACUGAAACAUCUAAGUACCCCGAGGAGAAGAAAUCAACCGAGAUUCCGGUAGUAGCGGCGAGCGAACCUGGAUUAGCCCUUAAGCACUCGGUGAAGUAGGUGAACAAGCUGGAAAGCUUGGCGAUACAGGGUGAUAGCCCCGUAACCGACGCUUCAUCGAGCGUGAAAUCGAGUAGGGCGGGACACGUGAUAUCCUGUCUGAAUAUGGGGGGACCAUCCUCCAAGGCUAAAUACUCCUGACUGACCGAUAGUGAACCAGUACCGUGAGGGAAAGGCGAAAAGAACCCCUGUGAGGGGAGUGAAAUAGAACCUGAAACCGUGUACGUACAAGCAGUAGGAGCACCUUCGUGGUGUGACUGCGUACCUUUUGUAUAAUGGGUCAGCGACUUAUAUUCAGUGGCAAGGUUAACCGUAUAGGGGAGCCGUAGCGAAAGCGAGUCUUAACUGGGCGCUCAGUCUCUGGAUAUAGACCCGAAACCGGGUGAUCUAGCCAUGGGCAGGUUGAAGGUUGAGUAACAUCAACUGGAGGACCGAACCGACUAAUGUUGAAAAAUUAGCGGAUGACUUGUGGCUAGGGGUGAAAGGCCAAUCAAACUCGGAGAUAGCUGGUUCUCCCCGAAAGCUAUUUAGGUAGCGCCUCGGACGAAUACUACUGGGGGUAGAGCACUGUUAAGGCUAGGGGGUCAUCCCGACUUACCAACCCUUUGCAAACUCCGAAUACCAGUAAGUACUAUCCGGGAGACACACGGCGGGUGCUAACGUCCGUCGUGGAGAGGGAAACAACCCAGACCGCCAGCUAAGGUCCCAAAGUAUUGCUAAGUGGGAAACGAUGUGGGAAGGCUCAGACAGCUAGGAUGUUGGCUUAGAAGCAGCCAUCAUUUAAAGAAAGCGUAAUAGCUCACUAGUCGAGUCGGCCUGCGCGGAAGAUGUAACGGGGCUAAGCAAUACACCGAAGCUGCGGCAAUGUCUUUUAGAUAUUGGGUAGGGGAGCGUUCUGUAAGCCGUUGAAGGUGAAUCGUAAGGUUUGCUGGAGGUAUCAGAAGUGCGAAUGCUGACAUGAGUAACGACAAAGGGGGUGAAAAACCUCCUCGCCGGAAGACCAAGGGUUCCUGUCCAACGUUAAUCGGGGCAGGGUGAGUCGACCCCUAAGGUGAGGCCGAAAGGCGUAAUCGAUGGGAAACGGGUUAAUAUUCCCGUACUUCUGACUAUUGCGAUGGGGGGACGGAGAAGGCUAGGUGGGCCAGGCGACGGUUGUCCUGGUUCAAGUGCGUAGGCUUGAGAGUUAGGUAAAUCCGGCUCUCUUUAAGGCUGAGACACGACGUCGAGCUGCUACGGCAGUGAAGUCAUUGAUGCCAUGCUUCCAGGAAAAGCCUCUAAGCUUCAGAUAGUCAGGAAUCGUACCCCAAACCGACACAGGUGGUCGGGUAGAGAAUACCAAGGCGCUUGAGAGAACUCGGGUGAAGGAACUAGGCAAAAUGGUACCGUAACUUCGGGAGAAGGUACGCUCUUGAUGGUGAAGUCCCUCGCGGAUGGAGCUGACGAGAGUCGCAGAUACCAGGUGGCUGCAACUGUUUAUUAAAAACACAGCACUGUGCAAAAUCGCAAGAUGACGUAUACGGUGUGACGCCUGCCCGGUGCCGGAAGGUUAAUUGAUGGGGUUAGCGCAAGCGAAGCUCUUGAUCGAAGCCCCGGUAAACGGCGGCCGUAACUAUAACGGUCCUAAGGUAGCGAAAUUCCUUGUCGGGUAAGUUCCGACCUGCACGAAUGGCGUAAUGAUGGCCACGCUGUCUCCACCCGAGACUCAGUGAAAUUGAAAUCGCUGUGAAGAUGCAGUGUACCCGCGGCUAGACGGAAAGACCCCGUGAACCUUUACUACAGCUUGGCACUGAACAUUGAACCUACAUGUGUAGGAUAGGUGGGAGGCUAUGAAGACGUGACGCCAGUUGCGUUGGAGCCGUCCUUGAAAUACCACCCUUGUAUGUUUGAUGUUCUAACUUAGACCCAUUAUCUGGGUUGAGGACAGUGCCUGGUGGGUAGUUUGACUGGGGCGGUCUCCUCCCAAAGAGUAACGGAGGAGCACGAAGGUGGGCUAAUCACGGUUGGACAUCGUGAGGUUAGUGCAAUGGCAUAAGCCCGCUUAACUGCGAGAAUGACGGUUCGAGCAGGUGCGAAAGCAGGUCAUAGUGAUCCGGUGGUUCUGUAUGGAAGGGCCAUCGCUCAACGGAUAAAAGGUACUCCGGGGAUAACAGGCUGAUACCGCCCAAGAGUUCAUAUCGACGGCGGUGUUUGGCACCUCGAUGUCGGCUCAUCACAUCCUGGGGCUGAAGUCGGUCCCAAGGGUAUGGCUGUUCGCCAUUUAAAGUGGUACGCGAGCUGGGUUUAGAACGUCGUGAGACAGUUCGGUCCCUAUCUGCCGUGGGCGUUGGAAGAUUGAAGGGGGCUGCUCCUAGUACGAGAGGACCGGAGUGGACGAACCUCUGGUGUUCGGGUUGUGUCGCCAGA